rnacentral:tRNA from 1 species
UCCUGGUGGCUCAGAUGGUAAAGCAUCUGCCUACAACGUGGAAGACCCAGGUUCCAGCCCUGGGUCAGGAG